UACGUAGGGGGCAAGCGUUGUCCGGAUUUAUUGGGCGUAAAGAGCGUGUAGGCGGUUAGGUAGGUCCGCUGUGAAAACUCGAGGCUCAACCUCGAGACGCCGAUGGAAACCAUCUAACUAGAGUUCGGAAGAGGAGAGUGGAAUUCCUGGUGUAGCGGUGAAAUGCGCAGAUAUCAGGAAGAACACCCGUGGCUAAGGCGGCUCUCUAGUACGGUACUGACGCUGAGACGCGAAAGCGUGGGGAGCGAACAGG
rnacentral:rRNA from 1 species